rnacentral:rRNA from 1 species
GCAAGUCGAACGAGACCUUCGGGUCUAGUGGCGCACGGGUGCGUAACGCGUGGGAAUCUGCCCUUGGGUUCGGAAUAACAGUUGGAAACGACUGCUAAUACCGGAUGAUGACGUAAGUCCAAAGAUUUAUCGCCCAGGGAUGAGCCCGCGUAGGAUUAGCUAGUUGGUGAGGUAAAGGCUCACCAAGGCGACGAUCCUUAGCUGGUCUGAGAGGAUGAUCAGCCACACUGGGACUGAGACACGGCCCAGACUCCUACGGGAGGCAGCAGUGGGGAAUAUUGGACAAUGGGCGAAAGCCUGAUCCAGCAAUGCCGCGUGAGUGAUGAAGGCCUUAGGGUUGUAAAGCUCUUUUACCCGGGAUGAUAAUGACAGUACCGGGAGAAUAAGCUCCGGCUAACUCCGUGCCAGCAGCCGCGGUAAUACGGAGGGAGCUAGCGUUGUUCGGAAUUACUGGGCGUAAAGCGCACGUAGGCGGCGAUCUAAGUCAGAGGUGAAAGCCCGGGGCUCAACCCCGGAAUAGCCUUUGAGACUGGAUUGCUUGAAUCCAGGAGAGGUGAGUGGAAUUCCGAGUGUAGAGGUGAAAUUCGUAGAUAUUCGGAAGAACACCAGUGGCGAAGGCGGCUCACUGGACUGGUAUUGACGCUGAGGUGCGAAAGCGUGGG